rnacentral:rRNA from 1 species
UACGUAAGGUCCGAGCGUUGUCCGGAAUUAUUGGGCGUAAAGCGCGCGCAGGCGGUCUUUUAAGCCUGAUGUGAAAGCCCCCGGCUCAACCGGGGAGGGUCAUUGGAAACUGGGAGACUUGAGUGCGAGAGAGAAGAGUGGAAUUCCAUGUGUAGCGGUGGAAUGCGUAGAGAUAUGGAGGAACACCAGUGGCGAAAGCGGCUCUUUGGCUCGCAACUGACGCUGAGGCGCGAAAGCGUGGGGAGCAAACAGG